rnacentral:rRNA from 1 species
ACGCCCAACAGCUAGCCCGCACAAGCAAUAGCAAUAGACCACUAUACAUAACCCCAAAUACACAGAAUUUAAGUAAACAAACCAUUUUUUUCCCUUAGUAUGGGCGACAGAAAAGGGACCCGAGGAGCCAUAGAAAAAGUACCGCAAGGGAACGCUGAAAGAGAAAUGAAACAACCCAGUGAAGCCUAAAAAAGCAGAGACUCACACUCGUACCUUUUGCAUCAUGAUUUAGCAAGUGUAAUUCAAGCAAAGCGUACUUUAGUUUGAUAACCCGAAACUACGUGAGCUACUCCGUGACAGCCUAUACAAAAGGGCAAACCCGUCUCUGUGGCAAAAGAGUGGGACGAUCACCGAGUAGAGGUGAAAAACCUACCGAACCUAGUUAUAGCUGGUUGCCCGAGAAAUGGAUAGAAGUUCAGCCUUGCCGCUUCUUUCUUCCCUUCAGUAACUUCUCCCACUGAUAUCCAAGAAUACUGCAAGAGUUAGUCAAAGGGGGUACAGCCCCUUUGAAACAAGACACAACUUUACCAGGAGGGUAAAGAUCAUAAUAAGUUAAAGGUGUAAAUUUUUUGGUGGGCUUAGAAGCAGCCACCCCCACAGAAAGCGUUAAAGCUCAGACAUAUACCACAAUCCCCCUAUUCUGAUCAUAAAAUCUUAUCCCCCUAAUUUUACCGGGCCGUCCUAUGCAAGCAUAGGAGCGAUUAUGCUAAUAUGAGUAAUAAGAGAGCCCCGCCUCUCUCCCCGCACGCGUGUAAAUCGGAACGGACCUCCCACCGAGCACUAACGGCCCCAAACAAAGAGGGCACUGGACAACAAACUAAACAACUAGGAAACUGUCCAACACUAUACCGUUAACCCCACACAGGUGUGCCCCUAGGGAAAGACUAAAAGAAGGAGAAGGAACUCGGCAAAUACACAAAGCCUCGCCUGUUUACCAAAAACAUCGCCUCUUGCAAGACUAACGAAUAAGAGGUCCCGCCUGCCCUGUGACUCUUAGUUUAACGGCCGCGGUAUUUUGACCGUGCGAAGGUAGCGCAAUCACUUGUCUUUUAAAUGGAGACCUGUAUGAAUGGCACGACGAGGGCUUGACUGUCUCCUCUUUCAAGUCAAUGAAAUUGAUCUUCCCGUGCAGAAGCGGGAAUGACCUCAUAAGACGAGAAGACCCUGUGGAGCUUUAGACACCAAGGCGAGUCAUGUUAAAUACCCCCGGACAAGGGACUAAACCAGAUGAAUCCCGCCCUAAUGUCUUUGGUUGGGGCGACCGCGGGGAAACAAAAAACCCCCACGUGGAAUGGGAACACCCCCCUCCUACAAUUAAGAGCUACAGCUCUAAACAACAGAACUUCUGACCAGCAAGAUCCGGAAAUACCGAUCAACGAACCGAGUUACCCCAGGGAUAACAGCGCAAUCCCCUUUUAGAGCCCGUAUCAACAAGGGGGUUUACGACCUCGAUGUUGGAUCAGGACAUCCUAAUGGUGCAGCCGCUAUUAAGGGUUCGUUUGUUCAACGAUUAAAGUCCUACGUGAUCUGAGUUCAGACCGGAGUAAUCCAGGUCAGUUUCUAUCUAUGACAUGCUCUUUUCUAGUACGAAAGGACCGAAAAGAAGAGGCCCCUACCGCAAGUACGCCUCACCCUUACCUGAUGAAAACAACUAAAGUAGGCAAGAGGGCAUGCCCUUGUGCCGGAGAAAACGGCAU